GGGGUAGUUGGCUGUGGUAACCAAACUGCGUCUUUGUCAAUUGUUUUUCGAUCUUUUUUAUCAAAUGUCAGUUUGAUUGUUGUGACAUGUUUGUGACCAAAUUGUUGUGACUAUUAUUGUUUAUUGUGAUUUAAAAGUGUGUAAAUGUGAAAUGAAGUAGUGGACUUUCUCUAAAAUUACGGAAAGCCGUUGGAAAUCAAUGAUUGGACCGGGAAGGACAAAGAUGAGCAAGAUAUUAGUGUCUGGGAAGAUAACUGGGAGGAUGAUAACGUGGAAGACGACUUUAACAAACAAUUGAGGGCCCAGUUGGAAAAACAGAAGGCCAAACCUCCAGCAAAGUAGUGGUAGGUUUACUUUAAAUUUAGGAGUAAUAAAAACAAAAUGCAGUAAUUUUUUUAUUUUGUGAAACAAAUUAAACACUAAAAGAAAUCAG